AAGACAGCCACAGCAUGCCUACUCUCCCACUUGAAAGGCCUCUCAGAGGAAAUUGCUGCCACUGUUUUGAUGCAAUUUCCCAUCCUAGGGAGGAACUGCAUGUUUAGGUUUCACCUCAGAAGAAUGACAAAGGCUACGUAUACAUAUUCACGAAUUAGACUCCUCAAAAGGAGAGUUACCAGUGAAGCCACGCCGCCACCGAUGCAAGAGACUACAGAUGGCUGCCAUCUUUAACCACACUCUUGCUUUGUGGACUAUGUCUCCAGAGACACUGAAGAGCUUAGCAAUUGAAAGCUUGAAACCAUGUCUAACCCUGGAGGAGGAAACUUGGGAGAGGCUGGGACAACUCAUAAUCCUUCAUGUUGUCAGCCAGCAGACCUCCAACACCAUGGUGGAAGGAGGUGAGAAAGUUACACUGGUAUACAUAUCAUACCAGCCCAACAAAUGCUAAGCACCCCUGUUAUUAUAAUGAUAACCAUCUCUUGGGGGUACGAUAUUUGUGCAUCUGUAACUUUCUCACUCAUCAUUAUUCAUGAUUCAUUAUUCUAUUCUAUUCUUAUUCAUUAUUCUAU